AUGAAGAUGGCGACUUGCAUUCGUAAGGUGGCCUCGAAGGAGUUUGGAGUGUCCAGGGGAAGGAGAAGCGAAGAUAAGGAUACCUGGUGGUGGAAUGAUGAUGUCCAGAAGGCGCUUAAAGAGAAGAAAGAUUGCUUCAGACGCCUAUACCUAGAUAGGAGUGCAGACAACAUAGAGAAGUACAAGAUGGCGAAGAAGGCCGCAAAGCGAGCUGUUGGUGAAGCAAGGGGUCGGGCAUAUGAGGACCUCUACCAACGGUUAGGCACGAAGGAAGGUGAAAGGGACAUCUAUAAGAUGGCUAAGAUCCGGGAGAGGAAGACGAGGGAUAUUGGCCAAGUCAAAUGCAUCAAGGACGGAGCAGGCCAACUCUUGGUGAAGGACGAAGAGAUUAAGCAUAGAUGGCGGGAGUACUUCGACAAGCUGUUCAAUGGGGAGAAUGAGAGUUCUACCAUUGAACUGAAUGACUCCUUUGAUGAGACCAGCAUGCGUUUUGUGCGGCGCAUCCAGGAGUCUGAGGUGAAGGAGGCUUUAAAAAGGAUGAAAGGAGGAAAGGCGAUGGGCCCUGAUUGUAUCCCCAUUGAGGUGUGGAAAGGUCUCGGGGACAUAGCGAUAGUAUGGCUAACCAAGCUUUUCAACCUCAUUUUUCGGGCAAACAAGAUGCCAGAAGAAUGGAGACGGAGUAUAUUAGUACCAAUCUUCAAGAACAAGGGAGAUGUUCAGAGUUGUACUAAUUACCGUGGAAUUAAGCUGAUGAGCCAUACAAUGAAGCUAUGGGAGAGAGUCAUUGAGCACCGCUUAAGAAGAAUGACAAGCGUGACCAAAAAUCAGUUUGGUUUCAUGCCUGGGAGGUCGACCAUGGAAGCCAUUUUCUUGGUACGACAACUUAUGGAGAGAUAUAGGGAGCAUAAGAAGGACUUGCAUAUGGUGUUCAUUGACUUGGAGAAGGCCUAUGAUAAGAUACCGCGGAAUGUCAUGUGGUGGGCCUUGGAGAAACACAAAGUCCCAGCAAAGUACAUUACCCUCAUCAAGGACAUGUACAAUAAUGUUGUGACAAGUGUUCGAACAAGUGAUGUCGACACCGAUGACUUUCCGAUUAAGAUAGGACUGCAUCAGGGGUCAGCUUUGAGCCCUUAUCUUUUUGCAUUGGUGAUGGAUGAGGUCACAAGGGGUAUACAAGGAGAUAUCCCAUGGUGUAUGCUCUUUGCGGAUGAUGUGGUGCUAGUUGACGAUAGUCGGACGGGGGUAAAUAGGAAGUUAGAGUUAUGGAGAUAA
rnacentral:rRNA from 1 species